rnacentral:snRNA from 1 species
AUGCUUCAGCAGCACAUAUACUAAAAUUGAAAUGAUACAGAGAAGAUUAGCAUGGCUCCUGCACAAAGAUGACAUGCAACUUUGCAAAGCAUUCCAGAUUUUU